rnacentral:rRNA from 1 species
CAGUAGCCGCGGUAAUACAGAGGGUGCAAGCGUUAAUCGGAAUUACUGGGCGUAAAGCGCGCGUAGGUGGUUUGUUAAGUUGGAUGUGAAAUCCCCGGGCUCAACCUGGGAACUGCAUCCAAAACUGGCAAGCUAGAGUAUGGUAGAGGGUGGUGGAAUUUCCUGUGUAGCGGUGAAAUGCGUAGAUAUAGGAAGGAACACCAGUGGCGAAGGCGACCACCUGGACUGAUACUGACACUGAGGUGCGAAAGCGUGGGGAGCAAACAGGUUUAGAUACCCCUGUAGUCCCUGUCUCUUAUAA